rnacentral:lncRNA from 1 species
UGCUGGGAUUACAGGCGUGAGCCACCGCGCCCGGCCAGUAGUACCUUUUUCAGUUUCCUUAUUUUGCAUCAUCUGAAGUGGGGGUAGGUUUUCUGCACUUACCAUGGGCACUUGAUAUGGCCCAUUAUGAUGCAGUCACCAUAAGGCUGUGUGAAUAUUAGUCACAUUCUACAGAUGAGGACACUAAGGCUGAGUGGCUUAAUAAUCUUCAGCGAUCUUAAUGCCUGUCACUUAACCUUCCUAGGCAUCAGUUUCCUCAGCUGUGAAAAGGGAAUAUUAACUUCAUUACAAGGUUAUCAGGAGGAUGGGUAACCAACCAUCUUCAGUCUGUAUGUCUCUCCAAUGCAUCCUGAAUCACUGGGAUUCCUUUGAAAAGAGAAAAUCAACCUUCUUCUUCCUGUUUCCUCCUCUGUCCUCUCUUCAUGGAUGAAUAAUCAUGUCUCCAUACCACAGGACAUUUCCCUCUGUGAAAAGUUUAAUUUCUGCAUUAAACCACUUGGCUUAAAAAAAAAUGAACUGGGAAGACAUUAUAACUCACAUUCCCCUCUGUGAAAAGUUUAAUUUCCAUAAACCUUAAAUCACUUGACUUAAAAAAAAAAUGAACUGGGAAAACUCUAACUGAGCAAUCUCUUGAGGAAGGACAAUGUUUACAGUAUGCAAAUAACCUAUUUGUCUGCUCCCCCUUUACGGAACUCCAGGGUCAAAGGGCUUCAUAGCUCGGGGGAAGGGAACCCAGAAGCCUGACAUGCUGGCAAACGAGUAAAAGUUUUUUACCCAUCAGACUUCUGGCUUUUCUCUCUCUCUGUGCAAACUGUUUGAAUGAAUGAUAAAAAUCACUGUUUAUAUACUCUGAAACGUUGUGAUUAAUGGAAAAAGGAUUUGUGAGGUGAGUCUUAAGCUAUAGAGAAUCUGUGAUACUUUGUGUUAAGAAUUUCUCUUUCUGUAUCUUUCUAUCAGAAAGAGGGGUACCUUAGGAUAAAAUGUGGGUCUAGGCCCAAAUGUCCAACAAUGAUAGACUGGGUUAAGAAAAUGUGGCACAUAUA